rnacentral:rRNA from 1 species
GACGAACGCUGGCGGCGUGCUUAACACAUGCAAGUCGAGCGGAGCGGCGAACGGGUGAGUAACGCGUGAGUAAAUGCCCCCCUCUCUGGGAUAACAGUUGGAAACGGCUGCUAAUACCGGAUAGUGGGGGAUGACUCGCGUCCUAUCGGCUUGUUGGUGGGGUAGUGGCCUACUAAGGAGACGACGGGUAGCCGGCCUGGGAGGGGGUCCGGCCAACAUGGGCUGAGUGACGGCCCAUACUCCAACGGGAGGCAGGAGUGGUAAAGAUUGCAAAAUGGGGGCAACCCUGAUGCAGCAGCGCCGCGUGCGGGAUGACGGUCUUCGGGUUGUAAACCGCUUUCAGCCAUGACGCGUUAGUGGCAGAAGAAGCACCGGCUAACUCCGUGCCAGCAGCCGCGGUAAUAC